UACGUAGGGGGCUAGCGUUGUCCGGAUUUAUUGGGCGUAAAGAGCGUGUAGGCGGCCAUGUAGGUCCGGUGUGAAAACUCGAGGCUUAACCUCGAGAUGUCAUCGGAAACCAUUUGGCUAGAGUCCGGAAGAGGAGAGUGGAAUUCCUGGUGUAGCGGUGAAAUGCGCAGAUAUCAGGAAGAACACCAAUGGCGAAAGCAGCUCUCUGGGACGGUACUGACGCUGAGACGCGAAAGCGUGGAGAGCGAACAGG
rnacentral:rRNA from 1 species